rnacentral:lncRNA from 1 species
GAAGUACGGACAAGCAGGAGUUGUGUUCAGCCCCUUUUGGAACAAUAAUCUCCCGAAGGUGUUGGAGCGCUCCAGCAACGCGCAGCGGGAGCAGCCGGGGCUCUGUGCGCAGCGUAAUCUGAUCAUGCUCUGUUUGGAUAAGAAACACAGCUUCAUGCUUUUCACUUGCUAGCAAAGAGAUUUAUUAUGAAAAUCAGUUCCCUGCCUCAGAGCACAUAAAAAACAGUUGGCUUCAUAACCUUGGGGGAAAAAAAUAAAUAAAGAAAUCCCAUGAGACACGCGUGAGAACUGAGUAAGUAUUAAAACAUAUGUUGGAGCAUAUUGAUCCCUGAAAGCCUCCUGCAGCAGACAUGAAUCUUUUUCAUUUCCAGCCCCACUGAUGGUUUAAUGAGGAUGGUGCGUGCCACUCACCUGGAUCAAUAAUUUUUGCACAUUCCUGCCAAGCUCCCACCACAGGCCCUGUCUCAGCCCAGCAAAGAAGACCUUGCCAUGUUUCAGGAAGAAAGGUACAUUCAGAGGCUGCGUUUGGCUCAGGAGGCACCACUGCAAUGAGAGGCUUCAGCUCUUCCCACGGGUGUGAUAAUUCACAGUUUAAAUAAGUUUUUCCUGUCCUGAAGGUAAAAUACAACACAGAAACUGCCACGAGCAUUUUUUUUGGUUUGUGGUUGCAGCAUGGCCUUUUCUGCCCCUUGGACAUAUGCCAUGAAUGCUUUAAUCCUGGCAAGGGUUUUAUCUUAAACAGAUACAAUGAGGGAUCUGAGAAGUAGGUCAGGGGACAUUAGAGGCUGUUUGAUUCAUUGAAUUGUGUGCAUAGCACGCUUUCAGGCCUGAAAUGUCAUUACCUGGAUGCGAUGAAGCUGCUGUUUUGUUUUAGAAA